GACGAACGCUGGCGGCGUGCUUAACACAUGCAAGUCGAACGGAAAGGCCCUGCUUUUGUGGGGUGCUCGAGUGGCGAACGGGUGAGUAACACGUGAGUAACCUCCCCUUUACUUUGGGGUAACUUCUGGAGACUGGGGCUAAAAUCGGACAGGAGCUCUUUCUGCAUGGGGGGGGAUGGAAAAUUGGGGGGGUGGGGGAGGGGGGGGGGGGGGGGGGGGGGGUUGGGGGGGGGGGGGGGUAGGGGGGCUUUGACGGGUAGCCGGCCUGCGAGGGUGACCGGCCACAUUGGGACUGAGAUACGGCCCAGACUCCUACGGGAGGCAGCAGUGGGGAAUAUUGCACAAUGGGCGGAAGCCGUAUGCAGCAACGCCGCGUGCGGGAUGACGGCCUUCGGGUUGUAAACCGCUUGCGCCUGUGACGAAGCGUGAGUGACGGUAAUGGGUAAAGAAGCACCGGCUAACUACGUG
rnacentral:rRNA from 1 species